rnacentral:rRNA from 1 species
UACGUAGGGGGCAAGCGUUGUCCGGAAUUAUUGGGCGUAAAGAGCGUGUAGGCGGUCCGGUAAGUCAGCUGUGAAAGUCAAGGGCUCAACCCUUGAAAGCCGGUUGAUACUGUCGGGCUAGAGUCCGGAAGAGGCGAGUGGAAUUCCCGGUGUAGCGGUGAAAUGCGCAGAUAUCGGGAGGAAUACCAAUGGCGAAGGCAGCUCGCUGGGACGGUACUGACGCUGAGGCGCGACAGCGUGGGGAGCAAACGAGG